GCAAUCGUGGGGCCGUUUUUUGCAUUUGGGCGUUGAUCGGGCCCCGGGAUGACGCCCUCAGAAGACGCUCUGAUACA
rnacentral:tRNA from 1 species